rnacentral:rRNA from 1 species
CAGUCGCCGCGGGAAUACGUAGGGUGCAAGCGUUAAUCGGAAUUACUGGGCGUAAAGCGUGCGCAGGCGGUUUGUUAAGACAGAUGUGAAAUCCCCGGGCUCAACCUGGGAACUGCAUUUGUGACUGGCAAGCUAGAGUCUGGCAGAGGGGGGUGGAAUUCCGCGUGUAGCAGUGAAAUGCGUAGAUAUGCGGAGGAACACCGAUGGCGAAGGCAGCCCCCUGGGCCAACACUGACGCUCAUGCACGAAAGCGUGGGGAGCAAACAGGAUUAGAUACCCCGGUAGUCCCUGUCUCUUAUAA